UGGGGAAUAUUGGACAAUGGAGGAAACUCUGAUCCAGCAAUUCUGUGUGUGUGAAGAAGGUUUUAGGACUGUAAAACACUUUUAGUAGGGAAGAAAAAAAUGACGGUACCUGCAGAAGAAGCCCCGGCUAACUACGUGCCAGCAGCCGCGGUAAUACGUAGGGGGCAAGCGUUAUCCGGAUUCAUUUGGCGUAAAGCGCGCGUAGGCGGUUUGUUAGGUCAGGAGUUAAAUCUGGGGGCUCAACCCCUAUCCGCUCCUGAUACCGGCAGGCUUGAGUCUGGUAGGGGAAGGCGGAAUUCCAAGUGUAGCGGUGAAAUGCGCAGAUAUUUGGAAGAACACCGGUGGCGAAGGCGGCCUUCUGGGCCACGACUGACGCUGAGGCGCGAAAGCUAGGGGAGCGAACAGG
rnacentral:rRNA from 1 species